UACGGAGGGUGCAAGCGUUUUUCGGAAUCACUGGGCGUAAAGCGCGUGUAGGCGGCCUUCUAAGUCUGAUGUGAAAGCCCGGGGCUCACCCCCGGAAGUGCAUUGGAUACUGGGAGGCUGGAGUACCGGAGAGGAGGGUGGAAUUCCUGGUGUAGCGGUGAAAUGCGUAGAUAUCAGGAGGAACACCGGUGGCGAAGGCGGCCCUCUGGACGGAUACUGACGCUGAGACGCGACAGCGUGGGGAGCAAACAGG
rnacentral:rRNA from 1 species